rnacentral:lncRNA from 1 species
GUUGUUGUUACCCUUGCCGGAGUGAAGAGAGCUGUAAGAAAAAAGGCCACAAGUAAAAGGAGAAGCUGUUUCGUGAACCCGACUUGGUGUCCGUGUUGUUCCUGUCUCCGUUGGAGUGGAGAUGACCUGCGACAAGUGGUGGCCCGUACGGGGAACUCAUCAUGUCGGUCGGCAACGUUAAGGCUUUGAAUACUACAUUGGUGAGAAGAGAAGAGAAGAGAAGAGAAGAGAAGAGAAGAGAAGAGAAGAGAAGAGAAGAGAAGAGAAGAGACACUGCGCACAUUGUCUUAUUCCAGAGUGUGGAGGAGUGCUUUGUUUUCCCAUAGUCAGUAUCUUGUUGGCUGUAGGUUUCUCAUAGCUAGCCUUCACAACAUUGAUACAUGCCCCUUCUUUUCCUAUGGAUUGUGUCUUGAAAGAAUGUUGAGCUUUGUCAAUGACCUUUUCUUCAACCAUUGAGAUGAGCAUAUGAUUUCUGUCUUUAAGUUUAUGUAUGUGCAGUAUUACAUUCAUUGACUUGUGGAGCUGAACCACUUAUACUGCUAUAAUGAAACCAAUAUGGUUAUGGUUAUGAUCUUAUAAAUGCUCUUGAAUUUGGUUUGCAAGCA